rnacentral:rRNA from 1 species
UACGGAGGGGGCUAGCGUUGUUCGGAAUUACUGGGCGUAAAGCGCACGUAGGCGGCUUUCUAAGUCGGGGGUGAAAUCCUGGAGCUCAACUCCAGAACUGCCUUCGAUACUGGAAAGCUCGAGUCCGGGAGAGGUGAGUGGAACUGCGAGUGUAGAGGUGAAAUUCGUAGAUAUUCGCAAGAACACCAGUGGCGAAGGCGGCUUACUGGUCCGGUUCUGACGCUGAGGCGCGAAAAGCGUGGGGAGCAAACAGG